rnacentral:pre_miRNA from 1 species
GGACGCUGAAGUGACUUGUGAGUGUGCCUUAGCUUAAGGACAUGCAUGACCUUAAGCUAAGGUACACUCACAAGUCACUUCAGCGUCC